AGGAGCAGAAGAAGAGGAGGAGGAAGAAGAGGAGGAUGGUGGUGGUAGUAGUAGUAGUAGUAGUAGUAGUAGUAGUAUUGCCCUGUAAAUAGUAACUAUGUCUGCAUCAGCUUUGCCAAAAGAUUAUUCUGGCUUUCAAAGCUGGUUAGAACCAUAUUUUUCCAUUUUUCCAAACAUGGCCGAAUAUGUGCCACGUGAUUUUACUUUGAUGACUCGAAGUUUACCUUUGAUUAAAUAACGUUGUUCAACAGCAGCCAAUUUGUGAGGUUUAAUCUCAGCAUCGAGUGAGCGAAGCAAGUCAACACCAAAUGCACAUGUAUCCUGUCAAAGUGCCCUCAGGCAAGAUGCUGCAGCGCCCGGACUGUGAUUGAAUAUCAGCAUGGAACAGGACUGAAGAGAGUUUAAUCACCUCUGGCAACUGUGCUCAUUUCAUGGUCUCAUCUGUCAGAACUCUUUGACAUGAAUGUGCCGUCAGGUCUUUUGGCUUCAGGUGAAAAAGAAGGCAGCGGGCUGCAGAGCUUACUUAUCGUGCUCCAAAUUUACAAAAUAAUCCAUUUCUGUUGAAUCACAACAUCUAAGAGUAGGUAGAUCAGUGGAUAAGGAGCCAGUCUGCCAAGCUGUAGACCUGGGUUUGAAUCCCGCUAAUGCUACCUGUCUGUGUCCUUGGACAAGCCACUUUAUUUACAUUGUCUCAGUGCACCCAGCUGUAAAUGGGUACUGGUCACACCUGCCUAGUAACCUCCAUUGGAGUGGUGUCCCGUCCAGGGGAAGUCAGACUCUCAUCCACUUGAUGCUACAGAAUCAGGACAUAUGUACCAGCACCAACAGACUUCAGAUGUCGGGGGCUGCCUUUGUCUGCCAUUGUCCUCUCCCUGUCUGUCCUUUUGUGUGUUGUUUGUCUGUUUUCCCUCCAGGUGGUGUGCUGCAGAACCGAGGAACACCUGAGAUUCAUCAACUCCUCGCACCUGUGAUUCAUGAGCUCCUGAUCAUGAGCGGGCUACUUAAAUCCCAGCAUUGAGCUCAGUCCUUGUCAGAUUUGACUGAUGCUUCCAUGCUUCGAUGAGCUACCGCGACCUCGUCAUUGAGCUCUGUCUUCUGAGAGAUUUCCCUGAGACGCCUUCAGCGUGAAUUCUGAGCUUCUCGCAGCUUCUCUCAAAGAACAUUCCUCCGUCCUCGGCUAUGUGCGGCCACUUGGCUCUGGUUCCUGUCCUGUCCUGGAUUUCAACCCACUCUCUAACUCUCAAACCUGGUUCUGUUUGCACUGCAGCUCCCGGCUUUCCACCACUUCAAGUGGGCCCUGUCUUGGCUCUGCAGGGCAAAUGAAGUUCCUUCAAGUGGUAUCCCACUUCCUUGGUCAUAAACUCCCACGCUUCUGGCAAGUACUGGUCAUCAACCCUGUACAUCUUCACCUCUCUCCAAAGACUUGGUGUGCGGAUGGAUGGCAUGUGGCCGUAGACCUUCUCCACAUUGAGUAGGUCCACGAUACCUACAUACUUCAGCACCUCAACCUGCAGUUCUACUGGCAGCAAGUCCAUGGCUGUUAUUAGAUACAAAAAAUGGAAGUCUAUGGUGGCAUUCUGCAUUCCUGUUAUCUGUGUGGCACUGCUGAGUUUUCUUUUUUAAUGUUUUAUUUAAUUUGGAGAUCACUUUUGGGGGGAAGUUGUAAAUAUAUUUAGGUAUUGUAAAUUAACUGCAGUUGUAUUUACUGUCAAUUAAGCAACCACUGAAGAUAUGUGCACUGGGGUGGGAUUUUUACUUCUUCCCACUCCCUUUUGAACUUUGUCAUUUUUUGAUUUGCUUCUUUUUUGAUCUUGUUUAUUUUUUCAUAUGAGUGUAGAGGUACAGAGAGUACAAAGAAGCUUUGUUCAUUUGA